rnacentral:rRNA from 1 species
UACGAGGGGGCGAGCGUUGUUCGGAAUUAUUGGGCGUAAAGGGCGCGUAGGCGGCCGAUCAAGUCGGGGGUGAAAGCCUGUGGCUCAACCACAGAAUUGCCUUCGAUACUGUUUGGCUUGAGACCGGAAGAGGUAAGUGGAACUGCGAGUGUAGAGGUGAAAUUCGUAGAUAUUCGCAAGAACACCAGUGGCGAAGGCGGCUUACUGGUCCGGUUCUGACGCUGAGGCGCGAAAGCGUGGGGAGCAAACAGG